rnacentral:tRNA from 1 species
AGAGAGGUGGCCGAGUGGCUGAAGGCGCACGCUUGGAAAGCGUGUAUAUGGCAACAUAUCGUGGGUUCGAAUCCCAUCCUCUCUGCAA